CAACCCUCCUUAGUGUAGCAAGCAUGAUAAUGUUCAAAUUUCUUCAGUCUCAAAGGCCUCUGCAAAGUAUUCCAGUCAUCGAAAUCUAAGACAACAAACCAUCCAUUUCAAAUGGUCAGCAGUGUUCCCAAUGCCCCAGCAAAUUAAAUUAGAAAACUAUCCAGUUGUUCAUUUUUCAGAUGAGAAAAUUUAGGCAAACAGGAUUAAGUGACUUGCCCAGAGUCACAAGCUAAUCUGGCUCCUAGUAGGUAUAUCUCUAUGGAAAUGGUCCAAGAGAGAAAUAAAGAAUAAUAUCCAUAAAUUAACAG